rnacentral:RNase_P_RNA from 2 species
UCAGAUGGCCGGAUGGCUGCUGCCCGAACCCUUGCGGUGCGGGGAGAGGAAAGUCCGGGCUCCACAGGAUCAGGAUGCCGGGUAACGCCCGGCGGGGGCGACCCCAGGGAAAGUGCCACAGAAAACAAACCGCCACCCUCCCGGCAACGGAACGGGUGGUAAGGGUGAAAAGGUGCGGUAAGAGCGCACCGCCGGGCCGGCAACGGGCCGGGCAUGGUAAACCCCAUCCGGAGCAAGACCAUGUAGGGACACACGUCGCCUUGCGCGACAGGCGCGAUCCUGCGCCGAUGUCCGGGUAGGUUGCUCGACGCGUCCGGCAACGGCCGCGCUAGAUGAAUAGCCGUCACCGGGAAACCGGAACAGAACCCGGCUUACAGGCCAUCUGACAGC